GUGCAUUACUACAAAAUGUUUUCGAUACUUAGUUAGCAUUGGCUGUUUCUAUGCUAAUUUAUGGUCAUAGUACAGCCAAUGUUCGCUUCAGUUCGGAUUCAAUAACGACUAAAACGAAU
rnacentral:precursor_RNA from 15 species